UGUUAAUUCCAUUAAGAAGGAGCUUGAGGAUGAAACUGAAGAAGUUUCUAUCAAGGAGGAACCAUUUUUAUAUGGAAGUGAGUCUUGUUCGACUGAACAUCUAAGCCCAGCACCUGCACCCUCAUCUUGUGUGCCGUGCAAGACGGAAGCUCAAGUUGAGGGUCGUGAUGCCCUCCCAAACUCCUCACAGAACAUUUCUGCUCUGUUGUUAAAUCAGUUUGGCGAAGGUGGCUCAGCACUGGCAUCAGGAGCUGCUGCUGGCGGCGCUGAUGUCUCUGGGGCGUCCAGCUCGAAGCAACACAUCGGGCUUGGAUGUUCCCAGCAUGGAUUGGUGCCUGCAGGUGCAGGCCUACUGCAGCAGCACCUUGAUCUGGAACAUCCUGCUUCAGGACCUCGCCGCUGCUCUGAUUGCAUCUCUAGUUCAGAGGGUGGACUAAAG
rnacentral:lncRNA from 1 species